GAUGAACGCUGGCGGCGUGCCUAAUACAUGCAAGUAGAACGCUGAAGCUUGGUGCUUGCACCGAGCGGAUGAGUUGCGAACGGGUGAGUAACGCGUAGGUAACCUGCCUCUUAGCGGGGGAUAACUAUUGGAAACGAUAGCUAAUACCGCAUAAAAGACGAUAUCGCAUGAUAUUGAUUUGAAAGAUGCAAUUGCAUCACUAAGAGAUGGACCUGCGUUGUAUUAGCUAGUUGGUGAGGUAACGGCUCACCAAGGCGACGAUACAUAGCCGACCUGAGAGGGUGAUCGGCCACACUGGGACUGAGACACGGCCCAGACUCCUACGGGAGGCAGCAGUAGGGAAUCUUCGGCAAUGGGGGCAACCCUGACCGAGCAACGCCGCGUGAGUGAAGAAGGUUUUCGGAUCGUAAAGCUCUGUUGUAAGAGAAGAACGAGUGUGAGAGUGGAAAGUUCACACUGUGACGGAACUACCAGAAA
rnacentral:rRNA from 1 species